rnacentral:rRNA from 1 species
AAGCAUGCAAGUCGAGCGGGCUUAUUCGGGCAACUGGAUAAGUUAGCGGCGAACUGGUGAGUAACACGUAGGUAAUCUGCCGUAGAGUGGGGGAUAACCCAUGGAAACAUGGACUAAUACCGCAUAUACUCUUGCUACAUAAGUAGAGUAGAGGAAAGGAGCAAUCCGCUUUACGAUGAGCCUGCGGCCUAUUAGCCUGUUGGUGGGGUAACGGCCUACCAAAGCUACGAUAGGUAGCCGACCUGAGAGGGUGACCGGCCACAUUGGGACUGAGAUACGGCCCAGACUCCUACGGGAGGCAGCAGCUGAGAAUCUUCCACAAUGGACGAAAGUCUGAUGGAGCGACAUCGCGUGAGGGAUGAAGGCCUUCGGGUUGUAAACCCGGAAAUUAUCGAAGAAUGAGUGACAGUAGAUAAUGUAAG